GAUGAACGCUGGCGGCGUGCUUAACACAUGCAAGUCGAACGAAGCACUUAAUGAGAUUUCUUCGGAUUGAUUAUUUUGUGACUGAGUGGCGGACGGGUGAGUAACGCGUGGGUAACCUGCCCCAGACCGGGGGAUAACAGUCGGAAACGGACAGUAAUACCGCAUAAUGUACAUUGAUGGCAUCUUCGAUGUACCAAAGCUUUUGCGCUGAAGGAUGGGCUCGCGUCUGAUUAGAUAGUUGGUGGGGUAAUGGCCUACCAAGUCGACGAUCAGUAGCCGGACUGAGAGGUUGAACGGCCACAUUGGGACUGAGACACGGCCCAGACUCCUACGGGAGGCAGCAGUGGGGAAUAUUGCACAAUGGGCGCAAGCCUGAUGCAGCAACGCCGCGUGGAGGAAGACGGUUUUCGGAUUGUAAACUCCUGUUCUUAGUGAAGAAUAAUGACGGUAGCUAAGGAGCAAGCCACGGCUAACUACGUGCCAGCA
rnacentral:rRNA from 1 species